UACGGAGGGGGCUAGCGUUGUUCGGAAUUACUGGGCGUAAAGCGCGCGUAGGCGGCUUAGCAAGUUAGAGGUGAAAGCCCGAAGCUCAACUUCGGAAUUGCCUUUAAAACUGCAAAGCUAGAAUCAUGGAGAGGUGAGUGGAAUUCCGAGUGUAGAGGUGAAAUUCGUAGAUAUUGGGAAGAACACCGGUGGCGAAGGCGGCCAUCUGGCCUGUAAUUGACGCUGAGGCGCGAAAGCGUGGGGAGCAAACAGG
rnacentral:rRNA from 1 species